rnacentral:rRNA from 1 species
UAAAAAGAUUAAACCCAUGCAUGUCUAAGUAUAAACGAUUCUAUCGUGAAACCGCGAACGGCUCAUUAAAUCAGCUAUGAUCUACUUGAUCUUGACAUUCAUUCUACUUGGAUAACUGUGGUAAUUCUAGAGCUAAUACAUGCACAAAAGCUCUGACCUUGCGGGAAGAGCGCAUUUAUUAGAGCAAAACCAAGCGAUUUCGGUCGUUUUUUGCUGACUCAGAAUAACUAAGCUGAUCGCACGGUCUCGCACCGGCGACGUGUCUUUUGAGUAUCUGCCUUAUCAAUUUUCGAUGGUAGUGUAUCUGACUACCAUGGUUUUGACGGGUAACGGAGAAUAAGGGUUCGACUCCGGAGAAGGGGCCUGAGAAAUGGCCACUACGUCUAAGGAUGGCAGCAGGCGCGCAAAUUACCCACUCUCGGAAUGAGGAGGUAGUAACGAGAAAUAACGAGACCGUUCUCUAUGAGGCCGGUUAUCGGAAUGGGUACAAUCUAAACCCUUUAACGAGUAUCUAUGAGAGGGCAAGUCUGGUGCCAGCAGCCGCGGUAAUUCCAGCUCUCAAAGUGCAUAGAACCAUUGUUGCGGUUAAAAAGCUCGUAGUUGAAUCUAGGCCUGAGGCCUGGUCCACUCCCAGAGUGCGUACUAGGUUCUUUGGCUUUGGCGUCGGUUUUCGUGUCGUCGCCUUUAUUGGUGGCGGCAAGUGGCUGACAAUUUUACUUUGAACAAAUCAGAGUGCUCAAAACAGGCGUUUCGCUUGUAUGCUUUUGCAUGGAAUAAUAGAAUAUGACUUCGGUUUAGUUUUAUUGGUUUUAUAGAUCGUUGUAAUGAUUAAAAGAGACAAACGGGGGCAUUUAGUAUUGUUGCGUGAGUGGUGAACGAAAGGGGAUGGCAACGGCAUUUGC